GGAAGUUGUAGCUUCAUCCACGUGUUCAUCUCAUAUGGAAUCGAUUGUCGCAGUCACUGCACAUAAAAGCACUAAACGAAAGAUGAGCGAUACCCACGAUGAACAAAGUCAGAAUACUGAUGAGGAAAUUGUGCAGACACCGUCUACGGAAGCACACACGACUCUGAUUGAUUCGGGCUUCACUAAAAAUGUUACAAGCCGGCUCUAGAUGUAUGAAAAAAAUUAGUCUACUGCAACAGAGAAUAAAUGUUCUUACUGAAGCAAGGGACACUGGAAUAGCCAAAAAUGAUGUUCACGACGAAAUAAAAAAGCUACGCAAAGAGUUUAAAGAAAAAGAAAAAUGUUUAAAGAAAAUAAGAGACUCUGCUAAGCGUGCAAAAAAAAUUCGAACCAAAGAAAAACUGGAGAAAAUUGAACGUCAGAGAAACAAUCCUCCUGUAGCACAACCUCGAACUGACUCUGGACAGCCACUUUAGUUCACUCGCAACCUGCUUUCCUAGAGACCAUAAUUAAUAUUGCCAUUCAUGGCAGCGCUGCUGAUGAACGCCGCCGAACAGAGAUGAUUAGGAGUUGUCUCACUCUGUCCGACCUGCAUGAGAGGCUGUUGUUAAUGGGGUUCAAAAUUUCUCGAAGCGGCACAUAUCUUCAUUUACUCCCACGCGUUUCUAACACUCAAGAGGGAAGAAGGCACAUACGUACCGUACUCGUAAAGUUAGCAAAACCACAGACCGAGAUGCACAAAGAGCACGAGGAUGGGGAAUUUUGCACUGCCACAAUCAGAUCAUUGGCAUCUCUUGCGUCGCUUCUGGGACCGCAGCAAGUAUUCGUUCUCUCACAAGACGAUAAGGCACGUGUACCAAUAGGUUUACCGGCAGUGAAAAGUCAGAGCUCUCUUUUGAUGCAUAUGGAAUACAGAAUACUUUUACCUGAACAUGACUGGGUCGUGACAGAGCGUCGCAUGGCUCCCCUCAGCAAACGACUGGCAGGCGUCAUUCUGCCUCAUACGAAUGUUGAUUUGGAAAAACGUAAUUUUCAGCACGCUGGAGAAACACUUGCAGAAGUAUGCAGUCGUAAACGACGUUUCGGCAGUGUAUAGACAGCCCGAAGAUAGCAUGCAGGAUCCAGCAGAACCAUAUCGUAAUACUUGAACGCUCCCUUAUUGUUUGUGUGUGUCAACAGAACUUUCGGCUUAACACUUUCAAAAUUCUACUUUCACGCUAUGGGCUUCAAAUUAACAGCGAACACGAAUUCUUACAGUUCUACAUCGUAAUGGUCAAUGACCAUCUGUAGUGGAGGGGUUCCGUCGCCGAGGCAUUCGAAUGGUUUACUGGUGAUGCGCGUUUAAGUCAGGCAUUAGGCACCAUGGCGGAAAGAUGGCACUCAACAUUUUCCAAUUUGCUGAUGUGUCGUCUAAUAACAUAAGAUUGUGUGUAUAUCAGAUUAGAUUCGCCAAUAGUGGACGGCAUUAAUUUGGCUUGGCUCUCGAAAGUUCUGAAUCAGGAAAAUAACGUUAUUCUAAUGACUACAUCCAGGUGCUAUCAAUAACACUAAUUCUAUUUGGAACACUGUUAACGUUCUCGCAAAACUUACUAGUGACGUAAGACGUAUUUUUGCAAAGAUGAAUUUAAUACAAGAAUUUAUUUAAAUUAGGCACGAAAGAUCAUCAAACAAAAAGUGGAAGGAUCCUGAAUAACAGUAAGUAAAUUAUGUUACUCUUUUCGAUAUUAAAUAUAAUUGUGAUCAUAUGUAUAUCGGCAGUAUCGCAAUAUAUAAUUAUACAUUAUUAAAUUAUAACUGGACACUAUUGUAUAGGGAUUACCAAACAAAAGUAGGCCGGAGGCCAAAAAAAAUUUUUGUUUGAUGUUGAUGAGCGCAAUAUUGUACCUAAAGUGGAAAUAAAUCCAAAGAUAAGUGUUCCUAACUUAACAGUUGAAGUGUCAAAAACUAUAAAUAAGCAAAUAUUAAUUGAAUCAGUUCUUCGUGUUCUUCACAAAAGUAAUUUACAUGGUCGGAUAGCACGUGAAAAGACAUUUAUCUCUAGUGUAAAUAAGAAAAAAAGUGGCAAAGUGUAAUGUUCACUGAAGUCAUUUUGGGAUCUGUUGGACGACAAAUUGUAUGGAGGAAGCCAAACACGGAGCUGGCAAAUAAAAAUUUAGUUGGGAUAGUGAAACUUGGCGGUAGUUCAGUUAUGCUAACUGAGUCUAAGGGAGUUAAUGGAGUGGGUACCAUUGAAUUUAUUGGAUGCAACAUGAGAUUUAUUUGAAUAUACUGAAGUGAAAUUUACGUGCAAGCUUGGAGAAACUAAAGCUACCGUCAGUACUUUGGUUCCAACAGCGAUCCAAAACAUACAUCAAUGAUAGUCAAAUAAUGGAAUAUGUAUUUGUAAUGCUCCAAAACAGCUUAAGACUCCCCCGAAAUUAAUCCCAUAGAUCACUUAUGGGAGAUACUGAAAUCUGAAAAAUUCAAUCCCAGUACCAAAAAAGAUCUAAAAAAGGAGAUUAUCAGGAUAUGGGGCGAAAUAUCACAUAAUUUUACAAAAAAGCUGUAAUAGAUGGGUAUACUCAA